GAUGAACGCUAGCGGCAGGCUUAACACAUGCAAGUCGAGGGGUAUUAGGAGCUUGCUCCUAAGAGACCGGCGCACGGGUGCGUAACGCGUAUGCAACCUACCUUGAACAGGGGGAUAGCCCAGAGAAAUUUGGAUUAAUACCCCAUGGUAUAUUAGAAUGGCAUCAUUUUAUUAUUAAAGUCACAACGGUUCAAGAUGGGCAUGCGUCCCAUUAGCUAGAUGGUAAGGUAACGGCUUACCAUGGCUACGAUGGGUAGGGGUCCUGAGAGGGAGAUCCCCCAAACUGGUACUGAGACACGGACCAGACUCCUACGGGAGGCAGCAGUGAGGAAUAUUGGUCAAUGGGCGCAAGCCUGAACCAGCCAUGCCGCGUGCAGGAUGAAGCAUCUAUGGUGUGUAAACUGCUUUUAUACGGGAAGAAACCCUGCCACGUGUGGCAGAUUGACGGUACCGUAGGAAUAAGGAUCGGCUAACUCCGCGCCAGCAGCCGCGGUAA
rnacentral:rRNA from 1 species